CUAUGAGUUCCAGCAACAGUAUCGAAAAGCAAUUCAUAAAAUGAGCGAGCUUCUUAUUUAUAGAGCAACAAGACAAUGGCUGCAAUUUGAUUGGAUAUUCUCAUUGACGUCAAAAGGCAGAGAACAAGCGAAGAUUCUAAAAAUAUUGCAUGGAUUUACUGAACGAAUUAUUGCCGAAAGAAAACUUUAUCAUGAAC